GACAGGUUUCGUAGGUGAACUGCGGAAGGAUCAUUA
rnacentral:rRNA from 1 species